CCUUUUAGGUAGUUUUUGUUUAGUUAUCGUCUCGUUUUCGUCAUGAAAAAAAGGGUCGUUGACGAAAACUAUGACGAAAAUAGUUCGUCAACGAAAUUAACACUGCUUUGGAGACAUACCAAGCUUAUAAAUAGCUGCCUUGUGAUUGAACUGACUCAAAUUAACUUGGCAAACUGAAACUUCACAUUGCCAGCUCUGGAUGUUUGAGACACACACACUCUCUCACACACACACACACACACACACACACACACACACACACACACACACACACACACACACACACACACACACACACACACACACACACGAAAAAAAAAAUCCUAAUUGGGCAUGGAGUCCUGUUCCUGUUCCAUUGCAGCAAAUCUAAAAUGGCUGCCAACAGACAGCUCUUUAAAAAAAAAAAAAAAAAUGCCUGUGUAACCUUUACUCAAGCCGUUCUGGGGAAAAUCACCGAACUGUGCUCUGCUGAAGGAAGCUCAUGCUGUAUCUUAUCUCUGUGCCCUGUGUGAGCCCCGGUGUGCGUUUGUCGAGACACAGCAGAGAUAGAUAGGGCAGUUCAGUCCAAUGCUGGCCCAUAGCAUUUGAACAGACCUCAAAUACUCUUGUCAUGAUUCAUCUCUUAGAUCAUUUUCAGUGAAGUAUCUCAAUUACAUUCUGACAAUAUGACAACUGUUGUUACAAAUGUCUUAAAGGUGUUUGUACCUUCAGCUCAGUAGUGUUUUUGUGCUGUCUAAAUGGGGUGCUUGUGAAGGACCUUACUUGGUUGGCACUGUUGAUUUUAAAGGUGUGGUUUAAAAAAAAAAAAAAUGGGUCAGUGAAGGUAAGGUUAAGAGGUUUGGUCAAAGUAAGGGUAAUCCAAGUAUCCCACUUAGAUAAUACCAUGCUAUAGUUGAGAGCAACAGUAAAUACAUUCCCGAGCUGAUUAACUUGGCGAUUCAAGCUAUUGGCCUUACAGAAACCUGAUUAAAACUGAGAAAUGACUGCUGUGCCAUGCCUGCUUGUUGGGGGUGGGGUGGGGUGGGGUGGAGUUGGGGGGACAGUCCAGUUAACCAAUAUCCAACCCGCUUGUGCUUGUCUGUUUCUCUCCUUUCUGUGUGUUCGCAGUUCUAAACAGAUCAACCUGUGUGUCAGGAAAACUAUAUCCUCACACACAAAGAGAAGGAGAGAAUGAACAGUAAAUAUUCAAACUACACAAAACGUUGUUCAACAGAAAAAUGGAUCGAUAAAGAGUUGAAGCUCUCCGUGCCAAGUGACUCCUCGUAAAUGGGUACUUAAACUCUUUUUUUUUCUUUUUUUUUUCCCUCCUCUCCUCUUGGUGGGGUGAGAUGAGGAGCCAAACGGACUUGGUGUUUAAAGUGAGAAAAUGAAAGCUGUGGUUCCUAAUGUCCUGUCUAAGUGGAUGUCUCUGUGUGUGAUGAAGCGUGAAGUGCUCUGUAACCCUAACAAAAUGACUAUCACUGUGUUCCUGUGGUUUUAAAUGGGCUCCUCCUCAGUGUCACUAUCUCGGCCUCCAUCCUGCUCAGUAUGAAAUGGAAAGGCGAAAUGGAGGACAUCCAUAAAUGGAGUAAUUGCAUGAAGGGCAGGUGUUUAUCGAACCCUCAGCCCUUACACACCAUAAUGAUUCAAAGGGUCAAAUUGGUGCUUGGACUUUAUAUUUUGCUCUGUUCGUACUGAAUAUUCGAUAAAGUUAGAUUAUCUGCAGUAAUUUGCUCCCCUUUCAAGAUAGAUUCUUUGACAGUUCACACCUCAAAAUGCUAAAAUGCAGAUCUAAAUAUUUAUUAUUAGCUGUAUUUGACAUUUUAUUUUUGAUAUUAAUUAUAAUAGAUUAUCUUUAGAUACUGAUCAUCAAAUGCAGACUUUGAUGUGAAUGCAAGGGGGGGGGGGGUUAUUGUGCUGAAAAUGUAUCUGGCUCAGACUGCAAAAGGUUUCCUUCAGGAUUCUCAGGAGUUUUACAGCGUUCAGUUUACCCUCUACCUUCACGGGCUGCUGCAGCGAAGCCUCCACACAGCAUGAUGCAGCCACCAACACGCAUGUGGGGAUAGUGCAUUUCUAGUGGUGAGAAAUUACUGAUUUGUGAACAUAUUGGACAAAAUUAAAAAAAAAAAAAAAAAAACCUAAUUCUGUGUGGAACUUGCAUUUUUGUAAUACCAACUUACAGUUAAUACCAUGUAAUACCAACAAUACCAUUAGCCCACUGGUUUUGUAGGAAGUAUUUCCAGGGUCAGAGUUUCUGUUGGCCUCUUAGUGCUCUUCUUCACUAAUUGUUGCACAAAUACAUUAUGCUCUUUAUUUCAUGAUAUUAAACCAAUGUCCCAUAUAGUCUAAAGUAUUACUUAGAGAAAAGGUCACUGAAGUAUCUGUAAUGCUGGCCUUCAUUUAUAGUCCUGGCCAAACUUCAGUACUCUACUAAAUAUUAAAUGAACAUAUAAAAGGGAUGAAUACUUUUUAGAGAUGUUUUACAUUCUUUAGUGACGGUGAUAAUUUAGGGAAUAAAAAGGGUUUUCUGACUGUAAUGCAUCAAACUGCUAUCUGGAUGUAUUGUUGAUUGACCUGAAGAAAAGUUAUUUAGUCUAACAUUAUUUAUUCAAACAUUGUAAUACAGACAUGAUUUAAUAAACAAAAAUGUAAAUUAAUUAAUUAAUCAAGGAUUUCUUGUGAAAUGUUGGCACUUUAUAUCCUUGUUCCAUAAUUCCUUUUUGAGGGAAAAUUGUUCCUCUUGGAUCUCUUUUGUAGAUGAGUUUAAUUCGAAUGAUUUUCAUUUCAAACUCUGCAUAUUUUUAACAUCUUAAAAUCUUAUUGAUUUAGUGUCCCCUUUGAACCAGUCGUCUGUUUUUGUAGUAAUCUAAUUACAGACGUGUGAAGUGUGACUGCAAAGCCACUGUUUGCUUAUUGCUCUCCUACAAAUGUUAAGAGAUGCAAAAUCGAUGCUUUAAUUCAACAUUUGCAUUUCUAAUGUUGGCAUUCUCCAAACUUUAUCCCUCUUAAGUCUUGCGCUGUUCCCUAAAGCCCCGAACAAAAUGUGGCUGCAAAGAGGGGUAGAUGUGACUCAGGUCAAAACCUGUGUUAAAUACUGUCGCUACACUUGAACUGUUUUAACUAUUACAUACUUGAUUAAGAGUUCAAGACAGGUGUCUUGUGAUAGUACUUAGCUUAUACUCUGGUUAUUGUCUUUGUCAAAGUCGAGCGUGAGUUUUACAGAAAUAACGGGGUCCAUUUCAUGCGAAGAUGUAUUCUGUUAUGUGACCAUGUGCUGCUUAAUUCUUCAAAAUAAGUUUCAUCUUCUAACAUUUAAAGCAGAUUUUUUUAUAUUUUUCUGAGCCAUUGUUUGUUUUAAGUCUCAGCACUCCUUUUUGUAAGUUUUGUUUGUUUUUAUUUUAUUUAUUUAUUUUUGCUUAAAAUUCCAUCAUGCAUUUAGAUGCAAAUAUGAAAAAGCCGCUUCUGCACAUUAUUUCACUGAGACUCUAAUAAGAAUGUUUCUGGAAGAAAUGUUGCUGGUAAAUACUGUUUACAUCUACUAAAGGGGUUUGAAUGGGAGGAAUGGAUUUUUGUUGCAGCAAAAGCCGUCAGAAGCUGAUUUCCCACUUGGAGCUCUGGAAUAAUGACAUGGGAGAUGAUCUCAGCGUUGCUCUUGCUCAGUACAGUAUGUAUCCUCUAAUCUUUCUCGCUGUGCUGUUGCAUGACCACCAGUCCUGUUACUGCGGAACUCCAGACGCUAUCUAUUCCCAGCAUUAGCUAUUUUGCUCUGAAUGAAUCUUCCCUUUUUAAACACCCAACUGGAACAAAAGCCGCUUCUGGGCUUGGCACUGCUGAGUUGUUUUUGUUACUCCCACUGCAAUAUUUGCUCAGGGUGCCAAGUUCAUUUGAAUGUAUUCGUUAUAUAAAUGCUACAGCCGUGAUUUAUGAGGACCAUGCAGGCUGUCGUACAGAAAAUUCUCAUGCACCAGCUUCUUCUGAAUCAGUCAUGUUGCUAAAAACUAGAAGUCCUUAAAAAGGAAUUGCCUAUCCAAAAAAAAAAAAAAAAAAA